UUCCGGUUGAUCCCGCCGGAGGUUACUGCUAUUGGUGUUCGACUAAGCCAUGCAAGUCAUAUGUUCCUCGUGAACAUGGCAUACUGCUCAGUAACACGUGGAUAACCUGCCCUUGGGUCUGGGAUAACCCCGGGAAACUGGGGAUAAUACCGGAUAACGCAUAUGUGCUGGAAUGCUUUAUGCGUAAAAUGGAUUCGUCCGCCCAAGGAUGGGUCUGCGGCCUAUCAGGUAGUAGUGGGUGUAAUGUACCUACUAGCCAACAACGGGUACGGGUUGUGAGAGCAAGAGCCCGGAGAUGGAUUCUGAGACAUGAAUCCAGGCCCUACGGGGCGCAGCAGGCGCGAAAACUUUACAAUGCGGGAAACCGUGAUAAGGGAACACCGAGUGCCAGCAUCAUAUGCUGGCUGUCCAGAUGUGUAAACUACAUCUGUUAGCAAGGGCCGGGCAAGACCGGUGCCAGCCGCCGCGGUAACACCGGCGGCCCGAGUGGUGGCCGCUUUUAUUGGGCUUAAAGCGUUCGUAGCUGGGUUGUUAAGUCUCUUGGGAAAUCUGGCGGCUUAACCGUCAGGCGUCUAAGGGAUACUGGCAAUCUUGGAACCGGGAGAGGUGAGGGGUACUUCGGGGGUAGGAGUGAAAUCCUGUAAUCCUCGAGGGACCACCUGUGGCGAAGGCGCCUCACCAGAACGGCUUCGACAGUGAGGGACGAAAGCUGGGGGAGCAAACCGGAUUAGAUACCCGGGUAGUCCCAGCCGUAAACUAUGCUCGCUAGGUGUCAGGCAUGGCGCGACCGUGUCUGGUGCCGCAGGGAAGCCGUGAAGCGAGCCACCUGGGAAGUACGGCCGCAAGGCUGAAACUUAAAGGAAUUGGCGGGGGAGCACAACAACGGGUGGAGCCUGCGGUUUAAUUGGACUCAACGCCGGACAACUCACCGGGGACGACAGCAAUAUGUAGGCCAGGCUGAAGACCUUGCCUGAAUCGCUGAGAGGAGGUGCAUGGCC
rnacentral:rRNA from 1 species